UACGGGGGGAGCAAGCGUUGUUCGGAUUUACUGGGCGUAAAGGGCGCGUAGGCGGCCACCGCAAGUCGACUGUGAAAUCUCCGGGCUUAACCCGGAACGGUCAGCCGAUACUGCGGGGCUAGAGUGCAGAAGGGGCAACUGGAAUUCUCGGUGUAGCGGUGAAAUGCGUAGAUAUCGAGAGGAACACCUGCGGCGAAGGCGGGUUGCUGGGCUGACACUGACGCUGAGACGCGAAAGCUAGGGGAGCAAACGGG
rnacentral:rRNA from 1 species